AUAUUAUUAAGCGGAGGUAAAGAAACAAACAUGGAUUCCCCUAGUAACAGCGAGUGAAGCGGGAAUUGCUCAACCUGAAAAUCGUCGUGCCAAGCGGCAUGUUCGAAUUGUGGGCUUGAGGCGCUCUAUCAGCAAAUGGCCUGGGUACAAGUCUUUUGGAACAAAGUAUCACAGAGGGUGAGAAUCCCGUCUAUGACUCAGGAUCCAUUGCGUACGAGGGGUGCCCAUUGAGUCGAAUAGCUUGGGAAUGCUGUUCUAAAGGGUGGUAAAUUUCAUCUAAAGCUAAAUAUCCGCAAGAGACCGAUAGCGCACAAGUA
rnacentral:rRNA from 1 species